UAAGGAAUAUUGCGCAAUGGGCGAAAGCCUGACGCAGCCACGCCGCGUGGAGGAAGACACCCCUAUGGGGCGUAAACUCCUUUUAUGUGGGAAGAAGACCUUGGUCGCCAAGGUUUGACGGUACCACAUGAAUAAGCACCGGCUAACUCCGUGCCAGCAGCCGCGGUAAUACGGAGGGUGCAAGCGUUGUCCGGAUUCACUGGGUGUAAAGGGUGUGUAGGCGGAACAGCAAGUCAGAGGUGAAAGCCUACGGCUUAACCGUAGAAUUGCCUUUGAUACUGCUGUUCUUGAGUACUGGAGAGGCUACUAGAAUUCGUGGUGUAGCGGUGAAAUGCGUAGAUAUCACGAGGAAUACCAGAGGCGUAGGCGGGUAGCUGGACAGAUACUGACGCUGAGGCACGAAAGCGUGGGGAGCAAACAGGAUUAGAUACCCCCGUAGUCC
rnacentral:rRNA from 1 species